rnacentral:rRNA from 1 species
AGAGUUUGAUCAUGGCUCAGAUUGAACGCUGGCGGCAGGCCUAACACAUGCAAGUCGAACGGUAACAGGAAGAAGCUUGCUUCUUUGCUGACGAGUGGCGGACGGGUGAGUAAUGUCUGGGAAACUGCCUGAUGGAGGGGGAUAACUACUGGAAACGGUAGCUAAUACCGCAUAACGUCGCAAGACCAAAGAGGGGGACCUUCGGGCCUCUUGCCAUCGGAUGUGCCCAGAUGGGAUUAGCUAGUAGGUGGGGUAACGGCUCACCUAGGCGACGAUCCCUAGCUGGUCUGAGAGGAUGACCAGCCACACUGGAACUGAGACACGGUCCAGACUCCUACGGGAGGCAGCAGUGGGGAAUAUUGCACAAUGGGCGCAAGCCUGAUGCAGCCAUGCCGCGUGUAUGAAGAAGGCCUUCGGGUUGUAAAGUACUUUCAGCGGGGAGGAAGGGAGUAAAGUUAAUACCUUUGCUCAUUGACGUUACCCGCAGAAGAAGCACCGGCUAACUCCGUGCCAGCAGCCACGGUAAUACGGAGGGUGCAAGCGUUAAUCGGAAUUACUGGGCGUAAAGCGCACGCAGGCGGUUUGUUAAGUCAGAUGUGAAAUCCCCGGGCUCAACCUGGGAACUGCAUCUGAUACUGGCAAGCUUGAGUCUCGUAGAGGGGGGUAGAAUUCCAGGUGUAGCGGUGAAAUGCGUAGAGAUCUGGAGGAAUACCGGUGGCGAAGGCGGCCCCCUGGACGAAGACUGACGCUCAGGUGCGAAAGCGUGGGGAGCAAACAGGAUUAGAUACCCUGGUAGUCCACGCCGUAAACGAUGUCGACUUGGAGGUUGUGCCCUUGAGGCGUGGCUUCCGGAGCUAACGCGUUAAGUCGACCGCCUGGGGAGUACGGCCGCAAGGUUAAAACUCAAAUGAAUUGACGGGGGCCCGCACAAGCGGUGGAGCAUGUGGUUUAAUUCGAUGCAACGCGAAGAACCUUACCUGGUCUUGACAUCCACGGAAGUUUUCAGAGAUGAGAAUGUGCCUUCGGGAACCGUGAGACAGGUGCUGCAUGGCUGUCGUCAGCUCGUGUUGUGAAAUGUUGGGUUAAGUCCCGCAACGAGCGCAACCCUUAUCCUUUGUUGCCAGCGGUCCGGCCGGGAACUCAAAGGAGACUGCCAGUGAUAAACUGGAGGAAGGUGGGGAUGACGUCAAGUCAUCAUGGCCCUUACGACCAGGGCUACACACGUGCUACAAUGGCGCAUACAAAGAGAAGCGACCUCGCGAGAGCAAGCGGACCUCAUAAAGUGCGUCGUAGUCCGGAUUGGAGUCAGCAACUCGACUCCAUGAAGUCGGAAUCGCUAGUAAUCGUGGAUCAGAAUGCCACGGUGAAUACGUUCCCGGGCCUUGUACACACCGCCCGUCACACCAUGGGAGUGGGUUGCAAAAGAAGUAGGUAGCUUAACCUUCGGGAGGGCGCUUACCACUUUGUGAUUCAUGACUGGGGUGAAGUCGGAACAAGGUA